AAAAAAUGCCGGGGAGCAGGUCUGCCUGUCCAGGGAGCCACCGUGACCCUGGGGCAUGCACCUGGCCACAGGAUUUUCUGGAAGACAGGCUGUUUGCUCCACUUGGAAAGGUGAGGGAGAGAAGGAAACGAACCAGGCACCCGGCAAGGAGGUGCAACACUUGUGUUUGGGGACCGCCUAAACCGGAAACAAGCCCCAGGCGAACGAACGAACGUUUAACGACCUGCGCUCUGCAGGGGGGACGGGGUGGGGUGGUGAGGGGGGGAAGCGAGUCCUGAUGCGAAGUGUCCGCCACUCUCCCUCGUGUACAUCCUGCCGCUGUGGCUGCUUCCAAGCUGUUAACACGACGCCCCUCCACGCGGAGCUGAACAGAGACCGGCUCUCAGGGACUGGCUCGUUUUGCUUCCAGCACGCGAACCCGAGUCGUGAGUAAAUUCGCGAGUAGUCUGUCCUUGGCGCCUGGGAGACGCUUGCGCACGCCUGGUGACCCAGUGUGUGUGAUGGGAGAGCUGCUCACAGGCCAGAAGGUCAGACUGAAAGAAAAACUCCCUGCCAAGUGCCUAGGGAGACGCUGAGCCCAAGAAGUGGGGGGUCAGAGCCCCCUCCGGCCUCCUCUCCAGACACCAGAACUUACUGCCGCUGCAGACUUUUCAAGAGUAACCGCUUCACCUGCCGGGGGCUCUCAGACGUGGAACAGAAGCCACUGGAUGGACAAAUCACCCCGUGCUGCCCAGGUCAUGAGGACGGACCCUAACCCAGUAUGACUGGGGUCCUUAUCAGAGGAGUUUAGGACACAGACGCGCACAGAGGGACGAUCGUGUGAGGACACAGGGAGGAGACUGCGUCUAUGCCCCACGAGAGACGCCUCGGAAGGAACCAGACCAACUUGCCCACGGCUGGACCUCAGACUUCCAGCCUCCAGAGCCGUGAGACAACACGUGUCCGGUGUGUUAGCCGCCCUGCGUGUGGUCCUUUGUCGCGGCAGUCCUAGGAGACUAACGUGGGGUCUGGACUCAAUGCCACGUGGGGUCCUGGAUUCAAUCCUGGAACGGGAAAAGGACACCCGUGGAAAAACGUGAAACACAAACGAAGCCUUUUGUUUCGCUAAUGGUGUUGCACCAAUGUUCCUUUCCUCUUUUUGACAAGUGACAGUAAUUUAAGAUGUUAACAGGAGAGGAAGCUGAGUUAAGUGUAUACGGAACUUCCUGCACUAUCUUUGCAAUUAAUCUGUAAAUCCAAAUGGUUGCACAACAGCGUGAAUGUGAUUGAUGCUGCUGAGCUGUGUGCUUAAAAAUGAUUAAGACAAAAAAUUCUAUGUCGUAUGUGUGUCUUUUACCACAAUAAAACAACUCUGUCAAAAAUCUA